rnacentral:lncRNA from 1 species
AAUUCUUCAUGCAUAUGAGAUCACUGUCAGGUGGUGAGACUCAAAAAGAACAUGUGGCUGCAACAGAAUGGUCAGAGUUCCAAUGAUCCGGAGUUUGAACAGUUUUCCAAAUGAAUACUGAAAGUUGGAGAUGGAAAAAUAUAUGAACCUAAUGAUAGUUAUGCAGAUAUUGAUAUCCCACCUGAAUUGUUGAUCUCUAAUUAUGAUGAUUCACUUCAAACCAUAGUUCAAAGUACAUAUCAAAACUUUUGGAUGAGUGAUCAGAAUGAAGGAAUAGGUAAAAAAAAUCAAAGAACAUGACUGCUCUUGCAAUUCUACAUAACUAUGCAG